rnacentral:rRNA from 1 species
GACGAACGCUGGCGGCGCGCUUAACACAUGCAAGUCGAGCGAGAACCGGGGCUUCGGCCCCGGGGAAAGCGGCGAACGGGUGAGUGACACGUGAGUCAUCCACCCUCGGCACCGGGAUAGCCCGGGGAAACCCGGAUUAAUACCGGAUGGCCCGUCUGCCCUUCGGGGCGGCCGGAAAAGGUAGCUUCGGCCUCCGGCCGAGGACGAGCUCGCGGCGGAUUAGCUUGUUGGCGGGGUAACGGCCCACCAAGGCGACGAUCCGUAGCUGGUCUGAGAGGACGAUCAGCCACACUGGGACUGAGACACGGCCCAGACUCCUACGGGAGGCAGCAGUGGGGAAUCUUGCGCAAUGGGCGAAAGCCUGACGCAGCGACGCCGCGUGCGGGAAGAAGGCCUUCGGGUUGUAAACCGCUUUCAGGAGGGACGAAGCCACUCGGGUUAAUAGCCCAGAGGGUGACGGUACCUCCAGAAGAAGCCCCGGCUAACUACGUGCCAGCAGCCGCAGUAAGAC